ensembl:lncRNA
GUAGGCAGCAAUGAGGGAAAUAGGCAGGGUGUGUUAAUUCAGCAGUCAUGGGCCCCCCGGGGAGCCAGAACCCACACGUGGAUGUGCAUGUAAUAAAUGGCCACGUUGACUCUUUAAGGACCAAAGGCCAGCUUAGUGGAAAAGUAUUCUAAUGAAAUCCACAGGCAGCAGUUAUACCAGCCCCAGGAUACAUAAGCAUCAGCAAGAGAAGUGAUUGUCAGAUGACCCUCCUACUACUGUAUUUGGAGUUAAGUUUCCUCGAGGGAUGAAUGGGCAGCAAAGUCUUUGCAGCUCCAGUGCCUGCUGACACAAGACUCUGGGAAGUGGGGGAGGGAAGGAAGCCAGGAACUGGUAACAACUUCCAGCAUUAAAGCAGUGACUAAUACUAAUUAUGCCGCUCCGACCAGCCAUCAAGCAGACCUAUUUUCGCUAUGAAUUAAUGCAGAGUGACCUACUUUUCUACAUAGUAUUUAUUAUUUGUGCUGCUGUUUUAUCGAUUUUGAGACUGUUAUGUUACAGAGGAAUGGAAAAAUCUAAUAUAAUAAAACUCCUCUCAUUGAAAAUAAUAAAGU